GUUAUUAAUAAAGGGAAUAAGCUUCUCAGCCAUGAAGUAGAGAAUCUCCUGAUAGCCCUCUUAUCUCUGCUCUCUUUCUACAUUGCUGCUCUAAGUGUGAUCUUCAUAGUCAUCUCCAAACAGUUAAAAUUGAAAACACCAAAGAAAACAGGAACUUGUGAAGCACCACAGAAGAAGAGGAGUGCUCGACAUAUUUUUCAGGAAAUUGCACAAGAACUACAUAAUAAGAGAUAUGUGGAAACAAAACAUGAAGAGAGAGAUGACUACGUCAAUGAAAACAGAAGAGCACAGUCCAACUUUGAAAGACCAUAGAGAAGGGAAGAAUUUAUGACCAAACAAGUGAUAUAGAGCACUACAAGAUGUAACAUGGACAAUUUUGAUUAUAUUAAAUUAUAAAGGUUUUGCACAAACAAAAUUAGAAGGAAAGCAGAAAGCUAGAAAA